CCAGCAGCAUUUUCUGUUUGUUUCUGUGUUUAAGAAAAACAAAAAUUGAUCCAAGUUACUUGGUUCUGCCUUAUUCAAAGUUAUUGUUUUGAAAUGAGACUUUAUUUUUGUUGAGCAACUAAAAGUGGUCAUUUCUAUUCUGUAUAGGCUUGGACCUAAUACUUCAUAAAAGCUUCUUCUCUGAUGGGGUGACAACUUGAACACUACACAGAACCGUGGAAGGCGUUCUGUAUGUAAUUUAUGUGCCUGGGCCAUGUUCUGAGCCCAUACACCACAGAGAAGGAGAAGCUAAAUCAAUCACGAGUGAUUUCCUGUGAAAGCCAGAUCACAUCCACCACCCAUUUGCUCUUGGCUGGCUGAGAAAUGACUAUUGGGUCAUGCUGAAAUGGGGGGCAAAAUCUUAGCAAUGUGCUGCACACAACGGAGCCUCAUUUCAGCUUCAUUUCCAGAGGUCCACAGGCUGUGGCGGUUCCACGUAGCCCAGCAGUGUCUGGCACCUGCACUGUCUUCUUGGCUGCUGAGCUGGUGCCAGAGUGUGACCUUACAGCGGUGCCAUUCCCUCACCGGGCGGUGGCAUGCAGCGGUGACAUUCCCUAACUGCCCGCAGUGGAUCUAGCACGCAAGUCUAAGAGCCCACGAGUCCAAGAGAGUUCACAGAGCACUUCUCCACCCUGCUUUGGUGCAGGUUCCUGAGCCGAUAUCACUGUGCUACGUACUGCUCUUUGUAUGUGCAAGCUCUCCUAAGGUGAGUGUGACUCACUUCCCCGGUGUGAUGUAAGGAUGCUCUGGGCUCCAUUGCAUUAGUCACACAUUUGCUAGUGGUUUGCAGGAUAAUGCUGUGCCACGUAACAAUUUCAUAGCUGGGGAGUUCAAGGAGAAGAGGACAAGGUCCAGGUCCCCUGCACACAAUUCUCCUAAGGGGCCUGGACCUAUCUGCAUCAGCCUGGGUCACAGGGGGAUGGUUUAUAUUAAAAUCUCCUACCUGACUCCUCCAAAAUGCAGCGCAGUGCUCCGGGAUUCUUGGCCUUUCAGUGCCUGCAGUGGUAGUUAUACAGAACGUACGGGUAGGAGACCGAGCGCCAACAUCUGCUAUUGAAUCUGAGCUGCUAAACUAUGACUCUGCAAGUUAUUUCAAUAAAUCUACUCUUUUAAAUUUAAUGAGGGAACCG
rnacentral:lncRNA from 1 species